AAGCUCGUAGUUGAAUUUCGGGAUCAAAUUGUCGGUCGUGCCUCGGUACGUACUGGCGUUAUUGGUUCCUCCCUUCUGAAGAACCACGAUGUCAUUAAUUUGGUGUCGCGGGGAAUCAGGACUGUUACUUUGAAAAAAUUAGAGUGUUUAAAGCAGGCUCGCGCUUGAAUACAUUAGCAUGGAAUAAUGAAAUAGGACGUUUGAUUCUAUUUUGUUGGUUUCUAGGAUCGACGUAAUGAUUAAUAGGGAUAGUUGGGGGCAUUAGUAUUCAAUCGUCAGAGGUGAAAUUCUUGGAUUUAUUGAAGACUAACUACUGCGAAAGCAUUUGCCAAGGAUGUUUUCAUUAAUCAAGAACGAAAGUUAGGGGAUCGAAGACGAUCAGAUACCGUCGUAGUCUUAACCAUAAACUAUGCCGACUAGGGAUCGGAUGAUGUUAAUUUUUUUAAUGACUCAUUCGGCGCCUUACGGGAAACCAAAGUGUUUGGGUUCCGGGGGGAGUAUGGUCGCAAGGCUAAAACUUAAAGGAAUUGACGGAAGGGCACCACCAGGGGUGGAGCCUGCGGCUUAAUUUGACUCAACACGGGGAAACUCACCAGGUCCAGACAUAGUAAGGAUUGACAGAUUGAGAGCUCUUUCUUGAUUCUAUGGGUG
rnacentral:rRNA from 1 species